GACGAACGCUGGCGGCGUGCUUAACACAUGCAAGUCGAACGGAAAGACCCUGCUUUUGUGGGGUGCUCGAGUGGCGAACGGGUGAGUAACACGUGAGUAACCUGCCCUUGACUUUGGGAUAACUUCAGGAAACUGGGGCUAAUACCGGAUAGCAGCUCCUGCUGCAUGGUGGGGGUUGGAAAGUUUCGGCGGUUGGGGAUGGACUCGCGGCUUAUCAGCUUGUUGGUGGGGUAGUGGCUUACCAAGGCUUUGACGGGUAGCCGGCCUGAGAGGGUGACCGGCCACAGUGGGACUGAGAUACGGCCCAGACUCCUACGGGAGGCAGCAGUGGGGAAUAUUGCACAAUGGGCGGAAGCCGGAUGCAGCAACGCCGCGUGCGGGAUGACGGCCUUCGGGUUGUAAACCGCUUUCGCCUGUGACGAAGCGUGAGUGACGGUAAUGGGUAAAGAAGCACCGGCUAACUACGUG
rnacentral:rRNA from 1 species